AGAGUUUGAUCCUGGCUCAGGAUGAACGCUAGCGGCAGGCUUAACACAUGCAAGUCGAGGGGUAUAAGUCUUCGGAUUUAGAGACCGGCGCACGGGUGCGUAACGCGUAUGCAAUCUACCUUUUACAGAGGGAUAGCCCAGAGAAAUUUGGAUUAAUACCUCAUAGUAUAGCUGAACCGCAUGGUUCUACUAUUAAAGUCACAACGGUAAAAGAUGAGCAUGCGUCCCAUUAGCUUGUUGGUAAGGUAACGGCUUACCAAGGCUACGAUGGGUAGGGGUCCUGAGAGGGAGAUCCCCCACACUGGUACUGAGACACGGACCAGACUCCUACGGGAGGCAGCAGUGAGGAAUAUUGGUCAAUGGACGCAAGUCUGAACCAGCCAUGCCGCGUGCAGGAUGACGGUCCUAUGGAUUGUAAACUGCUUUUGCACAGGAAGAAACAACUCUACGUGUAGAGUCUUGACGGUACUGUGAGAAUAAGGAUCGGCUAACUCCGUGCCAGCAGCCGCGGUAAUACGGAGGAUCCAAGCGUUAUCCGGAAUCAUUGGGUUUAAAGGGUCCGUAGGCGGUUUAGUAAGUCAGUGGUGAAAGCCCAUCGCUCAACGGUGGAACGGCCAUUGAUACUGCUAGACUUGAAUUAUUAGGAAGUAACUAGAAUAUGUAGUGUAGCGGUGAAAUGCUUAGAGAUUACAUGGAAUACCAAUUGCGAAGGCAGGUUACUACUAAUGGAUUGACGCUGAUGGACGAAAGCGUGGGUAGCGAACAGGAUUAGAUACCCUGGUAGUCCACGCCGUAAACGAUGGAUACUAGCUGUUGGAAGCAAUUUCAGUGGCUAAGCGAAAGUGAUAAGUAUCCCACCUGGGGAGUACGUUCGCAAGAAUGAAACUCAAAGGAAUUGACGGGGGCCCGCACAAGCGGUGGAGCAUGUGGUUUAAUUCGAUGAUACGCGAGGAACCUUACCAAGGCUUAAAUGUAGAUUGACCGGUUUGGAAACAGACUUUUCGCAAGACAAUUUACAAGGUGCUGCAUGGUUGUCGUCAGCUCGUGCCGUGAGGUGUCAGGUUAAGUCCUAUAACGAGCGCAACCCCUGUUGUUAGUUGCCAGCGAGUCAUGUCGGGAACUCUAACAAGACUGCCAGUGUAAACUGUGAGGAAGGUGGGGAUGACGUCAAAUCAUCACGGCCCUUACGCCUUGGGCUACACACGUGCUACAAUGGCCGGUACAGAGAGCAGCCACUGGGCGACCAGGAGCGAAUCUACAAAACCGGUCACAGUUCGGAUCGGAGUCUGCAACUCGACUCCGUGAAGCUGGAAUCGCUAGUAAUCGGAUAUCAGCCAUGAUCCGGUGAAUACGUUCCCGGGCCUUGUACACACCGCCCGUCAAGCCAUGGAAGCUGGGGGUGCCUGAAGUCGGUGACCGCAAGGAGCUGCCUAGGGUAAAACUGGUAACUAGGGCUAAGUCGUAACAAGGUA
rnacentral:rRNA from 1 species